rnacentral:lncRNA from 1 species
CUAGCGCAUGAGCACGGGAAGACACCAAGAAACCGCUUACCUUUAACUUUUCUCUGCCCGCCGGGAACCGGGUGCUUGCGGCGGUCCCGGAGCAGCGUGUUCCGGCUGUUGCAGGUCAUCUCAGAACUGAUGCUGCCGGUCGUCGACCUGGAUCUCACCCUCACUCUCACUUCCUUCUUAGUUGGCUUCUCAGGUCCAUUCUCAAGCGCUUGCGGUGGCGCAUCGCCGUCCAUUCCUCCGCUGAAGUACUUCUCUGCAUCAAAGAUUUCGAUCUCGCCAUCGAGAGUUCUCCUCGUCCCUAAGCUUAUUCGGCAUGACAAGCGUUCCGGAGCAGAGUU